UGAGGAAUAUUGGUCAAUGGGGGCAACCCUGAACCAGCCAAGUCGCGUGAAGGAUGAAGGUCUUAUGGAUUGUAAACUUCUUUUAUACAGGAAUAAAUUGGGGGACGUGUCCCCUUUUGCAUGUACUGUAUGAAUAAGGAUCGGCUAACUCCGUGCCAGCAGCCGCGGUAAUACGGCGGGUCCGAGCGUUAUCCGGAUUUAUUGGGUUUAAAGGGUGCGCAGGCGGGAUGUUAAGUCGGCGGUGAAAUUUUGCAGCUCAACUGUAAAAGUGCCUUCGAUACUGGCUUCCUUGAGUGUAGAUGAAGUAGGCGGAAUUUGUGGUGUAGCGGUGAAAUGCUUAGAUAUCACGAGGAACUCCGAUUGCGCAGGCAGCUUACUAAACUACAACUGACGCUCAUGCACGAAGGCGUGGGGAUCAAACA
rnacentral:rRNA from 1 species